rnacentral:rRNA from 1 species
UGCGCAGGCGGUUCGGAAAGAAGGAUGUGAAAUCCCAGGGCUUAACCUUGGAACUGCAUUCUUAACUACCGGGCUAGAGUAUGUCAGAGGGGGGUGGAAUUCCGCGUGUAGCAGUGAAAUGCGUAGAUAUGCGGAGGAACACCGAUGGCGAAGGCAGCCCCCUGGGAUAAUACUGACGCUCAUGCACGAAAGCGUGGGGAGCAAACA